rnacentral:lncRNA from 1 species
GCCACACAUGGGCUGACCCAGUCAAGAGCAUGGCUGGGAACUGAGGGCCUGGAGGCCCUGGGCACACACAAGAGCAGGAAGCUGCCAGCAGCCCUCACAGGCCUAGGGUUUCUCAGAAGCACACUCUGAUGAUCCUCACAGUACCCCAGCCCAGGCCCCACAGCUGCUCCCCAGGGCAGCAGGAGCUCGGCAGCAUUACAGCCGACUACAGCCCCCCCACAGCCCAGACGCACUCACGCAGGCUAACAAAGGGUGCCCCAAAGUCCUGGGAGAGAAGCAAAGCGGAGACAAGGGGACAGAGCGCCCGCCUUCCCUCCCAGGGCUGUGAGGGGACCCCAGUGAAGGGACUGCAGCUGCCCCAGCUCCACGGCGCAACUGAGCUUCAGAGAGCACACGCCCGGGCCGCACACGCUGGGCCUCCUGGCCUCAGCUUGCCUACCCUGUGAGGACGACCACGAAGUCCAUGACCUUCCAGCCGUUCCGCAGGUAAGAGCCCUUGUGGAAGACAAAGCCCAGAGCGAUGAUUUUGAUCCCUGCCUCGAAGCAAAAGAUCCCGAUGAAAUAGGGCUCCGUGUCGUCCAGCCGCUCGGACAUGGGCGUUUUGUCCCCAUCAGGGAGGUGCUGCUCCAGGGCCAGCACGAUGCAGUUGGCGAUGAUGGUGGCCAGGAUCAUAUACUCGAAUGGAGGCCACUCGGUGAUGCGCUUCGCGUAUUUGCGGACGACGUUGUCCUCGCUGAAGACGAAGAGCGAGCGGUUGACGGUGAAGCAGUUCUGCUUGACCGGGAUGGGGUUGUACAGCGCCAUGGUCCGCGCGCGCUGCGCGAUCGAUUGCUUGUAGAGGACCCGCUGGCCGGGCUGCAGCCCCCCGGGACCCGGGACCCCCGCCCCGCCGGCCCCGCCGCCCCGGGCCCGCUCUCCGCCGCCGGGGCCCCCAUAGCGGCCGCCCAGCUCGUCCCCGAAGCGGACCAUGGCUCCCGGGCCCCGCGUGCAUCCCCGGCCCAGCGGCCCCGGCAGGGAGGGCGCGGGGCGCGCCAG